UGUCACUACUACUUAAACGCAUUGACAUUCCAAAAUCGAUAAGCCAAAUUACGCAUACGACACGUGUGCAUAUUGUAAUAUGUGAAGCGCACACACCUGUUUUUAUUAUUUUUUUUUUAUAUUUCAUUUUCAAUGCUACACCUGCGCAGGUACGCAAACACGAAAUUGAACAGUUUAAUGUGAGAGUAAACUAAAUUUCGACAUUGUAGAAGCAAUUUGAAAACAAUUUCCGAAAUGUCAACAAAUUGCUGCAAUUUGCCAGCGCAAAUUCAAUCAAUUAUUUGCUUAGCGCAGCGAUUUAAAGUUGCCUCAAACAAAUGACUUACACGACGAUGACGACGACGACGACGACGACGUUGGGUGCAGUCCCGACUGCUACUAUAUGCGUGAUGUGUUGGGCUGCCCUUAAAUGGAUUCAUUUCUUUAAUGGCCUCAUGCAAGUUUAAUGUCAGUCUGGACUGUCAGCCAGGCCCUGACCGUCUGGCGUUGACCCUGAGCUGCAGCCGUCGUCCGAUGUGUCAUAUAUGAGCGAAUUCGUGCUGUGGGAGCUCUGGAGUCGAGCAACUCCAACUGGGACACAAAGAUGCAUUGUUUGACAGCCAGGACGCCUUGCUACAUUUAACAUUCACAAAAAGGCAGAAUUCCCAGGAAGCAAGAACUUAAGCAUCAUAUUGAGCUGUUAAAAGGCAGCGUCGAGCCUUUGUUGCUGCCAUUGAUGUGCAUUAUUGUUGCACGGCUUUUGUGUUGCACAAAUAAAGCCGCUCGGCAUUUACAUUAUGCGCCUUUCUUAUGUGAAUGGAGAGCAGCGCCUUGGUUAGCGACAAAUUUCCACAUUUCUUUCAAUUAAUGUUUAAGAAAAAUAAGAUUAAAUCUAUUAUAAAGUCGGCCCAGAAA